GCUCCCAUGGCGUAGUGGUCACUGCGCUCGCCUUGCACGCGGGAGGCCCGGGUUUUCCCGGCGGGGACA
rnacentral:tRNA from 1 species